GCGGAUGUGGUGGAACUGGUAGACACGCCGUCUUGAGGGGGCGGUGGCGCGAGCCGUGCCGGUUCGAGUCCGGCCAUCCGCACCA
rnacentral:tRNA from 1 species